rnacentral:lncRNA from 1 species
UUAUUGGAUAUGGUUCGCUCUAUGAUGAGUCGUGCUUCACUACCUAUCUCUUUUUGGGGGUAUGCCUUAGAGACUGCCGCCCAUAUCCUUAACCGAGUCCCUACUAAGAAGGUUGCCAAAACACCUCACGAGAUGUGGACAGGGAAAGCUCCCUCGUUGGCACAUAUCAAGGUUUGGGGUUGCGAGGCUUUCGUAAGACGAGAUACUCACGACAAGCUUGAACCUCGAAGUGAGCGAUGUAUUUUCAUCGGCUACCCGCAGACAUCCUUUGGAUAUCUCUUCUAUAGACCGAAGGACAAUGUUGUCUUCGUUGCGAGGAGAGGAGUUUUCCGAGAGCGAGAACUCAUAAGCCAAGGAGACAGUGGGAGGCAAAUCGAGCUUGAAGAGAUUCAAGAGUCGAUAGAUGAAGGAACCUCUACCGCUGGCACUCAACCCGAGGAGGAAACUCCGGUUGAACCGAUUGACGAAUCCUUACCUCUUAGACGUUCCGAUAGAGUUAGAGUUCUACCCCAGUUUUAUGGUUUUCAUAUUACUACCGAAGGGGACACGUAUAUUAGUGAUGGUACACUAGUAAAUCUUGAUGAACCUAAUAGCUAUAAGGAAGCCAUGGCAGGCCCGGAGUCUGCAAAAUGGAAAGAGGCAAUGGAUAGCGAGAUCCAAUCCAUGUAUGAUAACCAAGUUUGGAAUUUGGUUGAUUAUGUGCCCGGACGUAAGACCGUUGGGUGCAAAUGGAUCUUCAAGAAGAAGACCGACGUGGAUGGAAACGUACACACAUAUAAAGCGCGAUUGGUUGCGAAGGGCUUUACUCAAACUCCCGGAGUUGACUAUGAUGAGACCUUCUCACCAGUUGCGAAGAUUAAAUCUAUUAGAGUGAUGCUAGCUAUUGCCGCAUUUCAUGAUUAUGAGAUUUGGCAAAUGGAUGUCAAGACCGCUUUCCUUAACGGGAAGUUGGCUGAGGAUGUUUACAUGGCUCAGCCAGAGGGGUUUGUGGAUCCGAAGCAUCCGAAUAGAGUGUGUAAGCUUGAGAAGUCCAUUUAUGGACUUAAGCAAGCGUCUCGCAGAUGGAAUCUUUGCUUCGAUGAGAAAGUCAAAGAGUUUGGAUUUGUACGAAGCGAAGACGAAUCUUGUGUAUAUGUCAAAGCCAGUGGGAGUAUAGUAAGCUUCCUCGUUCUAUAUGUCGAUGACAUAUUACUCAUAGGAAACGACAUCCCGACUCUGCAGGAGGUUAAGUCCUGGCUCGGGAAGUGCUUCGCUAUGAAGGACCUCGGAGAGGCUUCUUAUAUUUUGGGAAUAAGGAUAGUGAGAGAACGAAGUAAGAGACUAAUAGGACUUAGUCAGAACACUUACUUAGAUAAAGUACUGAAACGUUUUAGUAUGGAAAACUCGAAGAAGGGAGAAUUACCGAUACAAAGUAAUGCCAAGUUGAGUAAGACUCAAAGUCCGAGUACCGAAGCUGAAAUAGCAGAAAUGAGCCGAGUACCAUACGCUUCCGCAGUUGGCUCAAUCAUGUACGCUAUGACUUGUACUCGCCCUGAUGUAGCCUUCGCUUUGAGCAUGGUUAGCAGAUAUCAAGGGAAUCCUGGCAAAGCACAUUGGAUUGCGGUGAAGAAUAUCCUUAAGUACCUUCGGAGGACGAAGGAAUGGUUCUUAGUCCUCGGAGGGAGUGAUGACUUGAAGGUGUGAGGGUAUAGUGACGCCAGCUUUCAGACCGACAGGGACAACUACCGUUCGCAGUCGGGCUGGGUCUUUACCCUNGUCUUUACCCUGAAUGGAGGAGCAGUGUAACGCCCGUAGAUCCGGGCGAGUCAAUUUAGAGACGAUAAGCAUCAAAAAUGAUUUUUUUAUGGAAUAUUAUUUAGAAGGAUUAAUCUUAACCAAGUUGUUGUAUAUGUCACAAGGUUUUCGUGCAUAAAAAGAACGUCAAAAUCCUAGUUAUAACGAAGAAGUUAUGACCUGUCGAAGUUUCGCGACAGAACCGGCAUGGAUAUCUAUCCUUAGUGGUCUAAAUAAGAAUUGAAGAUCUCAUCGAUAGUAGUCCAACGAUAACAAGACAGACGAAAACUGAGUUCAGAUGAAGGAGUUGUGAGUUUAUAACAGAGUUUUCUUGUCCCGGCCUACUAAAGAUAAUAUAUAAGUAAUAUACUUAUAAUAUAUUAAAAAUAAAGUCAAAAUUAGCCAAUGGAGUCUAAACGAGAGUUGUACAGCAUAAUCUCACCUUCGCGUCGAUAUAAAGAACGUCGAAAACGGAGUUCGUAUGCGAAAGUUAUGAAUUUCUGAAGUUCGGGGCGCGAAACCCCAAAACUGUCAGAGACCACGACGUGGCAAGCAGUGCCACGACGUGGCAAGCAGUGCCACGACGUGGCAAGUCUCCUGAUAGCUCCGGGAGUCCCCCAAAUGCAACUUGGGAUGACGCAUGCAGUGACGAUCAAGCCCACGACAUGGUAAAAGGAUCCCACGACGUGGCAAGGGCCAAAUUUGCCCUAUAAAUACUUUUGAAGGGCCAGCCGACUAUGGUUGCCCCAUCCCUUCUCUCCCACUCCCGAUACACCCUCUAAGCCCUAUUUUAACCCCCCGAUGCCGCGGUAUCAACCCCGAGACCCGAAGCAAGUCCCGAAGCACCGAAGAUCCCGAGACGAAAAGAGUUUCCGAGCCGAAGCUCUGCCUGCGAGAAACCCGGUGUGUGAAGUGAUCCCGGUUUCACCGAAGAAUACUACUUCUACAAGCCGUAGUGCUGUCCGAUCAUCUUCUGAUCAAGUGAGUGUAUACUACCUUUCAUAAACACGAUUAUAAUACAAGUAUUGUUUGAAUGUAUUAAGUAUAUGUUUGGUGUGAGUGUAUAGUCACUUUCGUCUUACACAUAGAUAUGAAGUAUUUUAUAAAAUACGUGCUAUGUGUAUAUAUAUAGUUGUUUAUAUGUGUGAGUGUGUGGUCACUUUCUUCUAACACAUAAAUAUUAAGUAUUUGCUAUGAAAUACGUGCUAUGUGUUUAUAUAUUGUUGUUUAUUUGAGAUGUUGGUGGAAUACAUGAACUAUAUAGGUUUUAAUGAGUUAAACUGUAUAUUUAUUUUGUAACUACAAAUAUGUUGGGUAGGACAUGGGUAGAUGAGAUUCGUGAGUAUGGAUCAAAUCAGGAGGUUAGUUAUAGAUCCGUGAGUAUGGAUCAGGUAGUUUUAGAUCCGUGAGUAUGGAUAAGGGUAAAAGGUUAGUUUUAGAUCUGUGAGUAUGGAUCAGGUUAAAAGGUUAGUUUUAGAUCCGUGAGUAUGGAUCAGGUAGUUUUAGAUCCGUGAGUAUGGAUCAGGGGAAAAAGGUAGUUUUAGAUCCGUGAGUAUGGAUCAGGUUAAAAGGUUAGUUUUAGAUCCGUGAGUAUGGAUCAGGUAGUUUUAGAUCCGUGAGUAUGGAUCAGGGGAAAAGGGUAGUUUUAGAUCCGUGAGUAUGGAUCAGGUUAAAAGGUUAGUUUUAGAUCCGUGAGUAUGGAUCAGGUAGUUUUAGAUCCGUGAGUAUGGAUCAGGGGAAAAGGUUAGUUUUAGAUCCGUGAGUAUGGAUCAGGGGAAAAGGUUAGUUUUAGAUCCGUGAGUAUGGAUCAGGCUAAAAGGUUAGUUUUAGAUCCGUGAGUAUGGAUCAGGUAGUUUUAGAUCCGUGAGUAUGGAUCAGGGGAAAAGGUUAGUUUUAGAUCCGUGAGUAUGGAUCAGGGGAAAAGGUUAGUUUUAGAUCCGUGAGUAUGGAUCAGGUAGUUUUAGAUCCGUGAGUAUGGAUCAGGGGAAAAGGUUAGUUUUAGAUCCGUGAGUAUGGAUCAGGUUAAAAGGUUAGUUUUAGAUCCGUGAGUAUGGAUCAGGUAGUUUUAGAUUCGUGAGUAUGGAUCAGGUUAAAAGGUUAGUUUUAGAUCCGUGAGUAUAGAUUAGAUCAAAAGAUUGGAUUUAGAUCCGAGAAUGUGGAAUAGGAAAAGAGAUAAACUUGUUAUUAAUCCGGGAGUAUGGAUUAAGACAUAGUUAAUUGUCCCUAGUCCGGGAGUAUGGAUUAGGCACAAUUUAGAUCCGGGAGUAUGGAUUAGAGCAGGAUUUAGGUAUAGUAAAUUGUCCCUAGUCCGGGAGUACGGAUUGGGCACAGUUUUGGAUCCGGGAGUAUGGAUCAGACCAAUAGGUAAACUUGUUAUUAAUCCGGGAGUAUGGAUUAAGACAUAGUUAAUUGUCCCUAGUCUGGGAGUAUGGAUUUGGCAUAGUUUUGGAUUCGGGAGUAUGGAUCAGACCAAUAGGUAAACUUGUUAUUAAUCCGGGAGUAUAGAUUAAGACAUAGUUAAUUAUCCCUAGUCCAGGAGUAUGGAUUUGGCAUAGUUUUAGAUCCGGGAGUAUGGAUCAAACCAAUAGGUAAACUUGUUAUUAAUCUGGGAGUGUGAAUUAAGACAUAGUUAAUUGUCCCUAGUCCGAGAGUAUGGAUUAGCCACAGUUUUAGAUCCGGGAGUAUGGAUCAGACCAAUAGGUAAACUUGUUAUUAAUCUGGGAGUAUGGAUUAAGACAUAGUUAAUUGUCCCUAGUCCGGGAGUAUGGAUUGGGCACAGUUUUAGAUCCGGGAGUAUGGAUCAGACCAAGAGAUUAGUUUAGAUCCGGGAGUAUGGAUUAGACCAAGAGGUUAGUUUUAGGUCCGAGAGUAUGGAUCAGGUGGAGAGAUUAGUUUAGAUCCGUAAGUAGGGAUCAGAUAAAGAGGAAAAGUUUAGAUACGAGAGUUUAGAUCGUGUCGUUGUGAGGAUCGAUGGGGUGGGAUAAGAGUUGCUUUUAUAUGGUGAAAUUAUAUAAUUUUGGAUGUUCUAUAUAUAUUUAUUUGAUAUAACAUUGUGGAAUGAAAACCCUAUAUGCUCACCAGGCUCCCAAGCCUGACCCACUCAGUUUUCUUUGUAUCACAGGUAUCGAUACGAAGAUAUAUUUCACGGAGAGAUCAAAGGAGAUGUAAAAUCUUUAGUGUAAAUAAUGUAAGUUCUGUUUAUGCUUAUGUGUCUGUAUCGGAACAUGACAUCCCGAGAUUUUGUUAUAUAAUGAAAAUACAUUUCUUUAAAGAAAUGCUUUGAUAAAUCUUUAUCAUAUUUUGGGAACAAAUUCCGCAACUGUUUUCUUUAAAAGAUUACUCUGAUUUUAAAAACAAGCAUAAACAAAUCGGUCUUUUCUGGCCGUGAAAUUGGGGAUGUCACAGUUGGUAUCAGAGCAUUAGUUUAAGCGAACUAGGAAUUUGUAGGAAAUUUCUAGACUUAAACUUAGAAUGCUAAGUAAUGAUUGUGAGGAGUGUGUCUAAAAUAUGUUAGGUAGUACACCUAAAUUGACACAAGCACUAGUUUAUUUUAGGAAUGAUGCCUAAAAAGCUUUUAUGUGCUAAAUGUUUUGUGUGAUAGCUAUAUUGAUGCUAUUAUUUGUUCGGAUCUAUGGUCUGUUGCCGACCGGAUCUGGAAACCUUAUGUGUUUAGGAUUCUAAGCNGUUAGGUAGUACACCUAAAUUGACACAAGCACUAGUUUAUUUUAGGAAUGAUGCCUAAAAAGCUUUUAUGUGCUAAAUGUUUUGUGUGAUAGCUAUAUUGAUGCUAUUAUUAUUUCGGAUCUAUGGUUUGUUGCCGACCGGAUCUGGAAACCUUAUGUGUGUAGGAUUCUAAGCGUAUGACUACGAUAUUAGAACUAGCAUUUAAACGUUUCGGAGUGAUAAGGAGAUUUAAACGUUUAUCGUAAUUAAAGCUUUCUUAUCUUAAAAUUCUCGCCUGGUACACCGAACGUCUGCUUGGAUGUACAAGAGGUCAUGGUGAAGACUCGUAGAGAAAUUGAGUAAAUGGAGGAAAUGAAGAAGGCUUAUGAUAGUGGAUGACACCUAUCAGAAGAUAUCGUAAGAGUGGUAUCUUGCCUUUAGAGUAUGUCUUAUGAAAUAACAGUACAUUUAGAGGAGUACGGUACGUCUGAAGUACACCUUCGAUUGGUAGGAUGAUGGAACGAUUCAUGAAAUUCUUGAAGUUGUCUCAUCGUCUGGUAUUUCCAUCACCAAUCGAGUUGAAGUAGAAUUGAUGAUUAAAGAUAUGCAAUGAAGAAUUCCUAGUAGAGUCUAGGGAAAUUGUUUAUGAUUAUUUGGACACAUUCGUAUGUGUUAAAUUGUUUUGUGAUUUUCUUGUAUGGUGACUUGGUUGACUGCGGGACAAUACUUGGGACGAGUAUGAGUAGGUGUGAAAGGUAGUAGAUGCAUAUACUACCGGAAGCACAGGACUCGCACUUGGAUCAGGGAAAGUCACAAGGUUACCAAGAAGCUAGUAAUUGAUUCCGUUUUGUUCAAGUGUGUCAUUACCCUUGUUUCGGUAGUGACUAUUAAGAUGGUUGUUAUUUCGACCCUAGUGGUCAUAUCAAAAUUGAGUCCGAAUACGAGGAGUUUGUUACGUGGUUCAUAGAACCAAGUUCAAUGUAACAUCUGACCUAAGUCAACAGAUUGAAAUCAAUGCGAUCGAUAGCAUCGCGCUCGUUGUUAAGGAAGCUUGUAGCUAGAAAUGCUACAUGUAAAAAAAAUGUGAUUAUAUCACAUUAGAAUAUGAAGGAAGGUAUAUUCCAUUCGGGAAUUUGACUCUAAGAGACUUGAGUCUAAGCGUUGCAUCAUACGAUGAGAGGUCAUUAGAACAUGACACAUCGAUCUAUUGCAAUAGAGGAAUGAAAGUACUUAUCCUAAGAAGAAGGAGUCCUCAAUAAAGAUUUAUUUUGUUACUCGGAAGUUAUGAUUGAAAGUAUAACAUAGUACGAUAAGCAGAUGCAAGAUUGGGCAACGUCUGUGGUCAAGAAAGCCACAGAGUUAAAUACUCUAUCGAGGAAACAUAGAAGUUACGGUUAUUACCUAGGAUGAAGAGAUAACGUGUGGAAUCAUUAUGCAAGCCAUAUUUCGUUGAUGAUUCCGGGACGUAAUCAUCCUAAGGGGGAGAUAAUUGUAACGCCCGUAGAUCCGGGCUAGUCAAUUUAGAGACGAUAAGCAUCAAAAAUGACUUUUUGAUGGAAGAUUAUUUAGAAGGAUUAAUCUUAACCAAGUUGUAGUAUAUGUCACAAGGUUUCCGUGCAUAUAAAGAACGCCAAAAUCCGAGUUAUAACGAAGAAGUUAUUACCUGUCGAAGUUUCGCGACAGAAUCGGCAUGACCCAGCGCGACCCAACGCGACGUAAAUAGUGAAUUUAAGGUAGAUAGAUAUCUAUCCUUAGCGAUCUAAAUAAUAAUUGAAGAUCUCAUCAAUAGUAGUCCAGCGAUAAAAAGACAGACAAAAACUGAGUUCAGAUGAAGGAGUUGUGAGUUUAUAACGGAGUUUUCCUGUCCCGGCCUACUAAAGAUAAUAUAUAAGUAAUAUACUUAUAAUAUAUUAAAAAUAAAGUCAAAAUUAGCCAAUGGAGUCUAAACAAGAGUUGUAGAGCAUAAUCUCACCUUCGCGUCGAUAUAAAGAACGUCGAAAAUGGAGUUCGUAUGCGAAAGUUAUGAAUUUCUGAAGUUCGGGGCGCGAAACCCCAAAACUGUCAGAGACCACGACGUGGCAAGCAGUGCCACGACGUGGCAAGUCUCCUGACAGCUCCGGGAGUCCCCCAGAUGCAACUUGGGAUGACGCAUGCAGUGACGAUCAAGCCCACGACGUGGCAAAAGGAUCCCACGACGUGGCAAGGGCCAAAUUUGCCCUAUAAAUAGAUUUGAAGGGCCAGCCGACUAUGGUUGCUCCAUCCCUUCUCUCCCACUCCCGAUACACCCUCUAAGCCCUAUUUUAACCCCCCGAAGCCCCGGUAUCAACCCCGAGACCCGAAGCAAGUCCCGAAGCACCGAAGAUCCCGAGAAGAAAAGAGUUUCCGAGCCGAAGCUCUGCCCGCGAGAAACCCGGUGUGUGAAGUGAUCCCGGUUUCACCGAAGAAUACUAUUUCUACAAGCCGUAGUGUUGUCCGAUCAUCUUCUGAUCAUGUGAGUGUAUACUACCUUUCAUAAACACGAUUAUAAUACAAGUAUUGUUUGAAUGUAUUAAGUAUAUGUUUGGUGUGAGUGUAUAGUCACUUUCGUCUUACACAUAGAUAUGAAGUAUUUUAUAAAAUACGUGCUAUGUGUAUAUAUAUAGUUGUUUAUAUGUGUGAGUGUGUGGUCACUUUCUUCUAACACAUAAAUAUUAAGUAUUUGCUAUGAAAUAUGUGCUAUGUGUUUAUAUAUUGUUGUUUAUUUGAGAUGUUGGUGGAAUACAUGAACUAUAUAGGUUUUAAUGAGUUGAACUGUAUAUUUAUUUUGUAACUACAAAUAUGUUGGGUAGGACAUGGGUAGAUGAGAUCCGUGAGUAUGGAUCAGAUCAAGAUUAGUGUAUAGUUAAUUGUCCCUAUUCCGGGAGUAUGGAAUGGGUACAAUUAUUGAUCCGGGAGAAUGGAUCAGAUCCGGAGGUUAGUUUUAGAUCAGUGAGUAUGGAUCAGGGGAAAAGGUUAGUUUUAGAUCCAUGAGUAUGGAUCAGGCUAAAAGGUUAGUUUUAGAUUCGUGAGUAUGGAUCAGGUAGUUUUAGAUCCAUGAGUAUGGAUCAGGGGAAAAGGUUAGUUUUAGAUCCGUGAGUAUGGAUCAGGUUAAAAGGUUAGUUUUAGAUCCGUGAGUAUGGAUCAGGUAGUUUUAGAUUCGUGAGUAUGGAUCAGGUUAAAAGGUUAGUUUUAGAUCCGUGAGUAUAGAUUAGAUCAAAAGAUUGGAUUUAGAUCCGAGAAUGUGGAAUAGGAAAAGAGAUAAACUUGUUAUUAAUCCGGGAGUAUGGAUUAAGACAUAGUUAAUUGUCCCUAGUCCGGGAAUAUGGAUUAGGCACAGUUUAGAUCCGGGAGUAUGGAUUAGAGCAGGAUUUAGGUAUAGUAAAUUGUCCCUAGUCCGGGAGUACGAAUUGGGCACAAUUUUGGAUCCGGGAGUAUGGAUCAGACCAAUAGGUAAACUUGUUAUUAAUCCGGGAGUAUGGAUUAAGACAUAGUUAAUUGUCCCUAGUCCGGGAGUAUGGAUUUGGCAUAGUUUUGGAUCCGGGAGUAUGGAUCAGACCAAUAGGUAAACUUGUUAUUAAUCCGAGAGUAUAGAUUAAGACAUAGUUAAUUGUCCCUAGUCCGGGAGUAUGGAUCAGACCAAUAGGUAAACUUGUUAUUAAUCUGGGAGUAUGAAUUAAGACAUCGUUAAUUGUCCCUAGUCCGAGAGUAUGGAUUGGCUACAGUUUUAGAUCCGGGAGUAUGGAUCAGACCAAUAGGUAAACUUGUUAUUAAUUUGGGAGUAUGGAUUAAGACAUAGUUAAUUGUCCCUAGUCCGGGAGUAUGGAUUGGGCAUAGUUUUAGAUCCGGGAGUAUGGAUCAGACCAAGAGAUUAGUUUAGAUCCGGGAGUAUGGAUUAGACCAAGAGGUUAGCUUUAGGUCCGAGAGUCUGGAUCAGGUGGAGAGAUUAUAUUAGAUCCGUGAGUAGGGAUCAGAUAAAGAGGAAAAGUUUAGAUACGAGAGUUUAGAUCGUGUUGUUGUGAGGAUCGAUGGGGUGGGAUAAGAGUUGCUUUUAUAUGGUGAAAUUAUAUAAUUUUGGAUGUUCUAUAUAUAUUUAUAUGAUAUAACAUUGUGGAAUGAAAACCCUAUAUGCUCACCAGGCUCCCAAGCCUGACCCACUCAGUUUUCUUUGUAUCACAGGUAUCGAUACGAAGUUAUAUUUCACAAAGAGAUCAAAGGAGAUGUAAAAUCUUUAGUGUAAAUAAUGUAUGUUCUGUUUAUGCUUAUGUGUCUGUAUCGGAACAUGACAUCCCGAGAUUUUGUUAUAUAAUAAAAAUACAUUUCUUUAAAGAAAUGCUUUGAUAAAUCUUUAUCAUAUUUUGGGAACAAAUUCCACAACUGUUUUCUUUAAAAGAUUACUCUGAUUUUAAAAACAAGCAUAAGCAAAUCGGUCUUUUCUGGCCGUGAAAUUGGGGAUGUCACAAGCAGUAACUUGAAAAUUUUCCAAGCAGGAAACCGUAGCUGAUUCAACGUGUGAGGGGUGGUCGAUUUCUUGGGCUUAGGAUAGGCUUAGAAUUCAUCCAAGAGCUUAUUAAUUAGGGUAUUGGAUUACUUAGAGCCUAAGUUAUCCAAUUAGGGUUUAAGGCUAAAACCCCAGGAGCCUCACUAGUAUAAAUAGACCCUAAGGGUCAAGGGAAUCGGCACCUAUACUCUAAAAAGAAACCCUGGCCGAUUCUUGAUCCUCUAUCCUCUCUCUCAAAUCAUCCUCUUGCUAGUUGGUGUUUGUAAGCCAUUAGAGGAGUGACAAUUGCGACUCUAAAGCUCCAAGGACAAGAAGAUCAAGCAAGUGAUUCAAGGUAAUCUUCUAAUUCUGAUUUCUUAUUGUUUUUAUACUCUAUUAGCCAUUAGAAGUCUUGGAUUCAGUGCGUGUUCAAUUAGAGAAACCUAGAUCCAAGCAUUAGGGUUUGCAUGUGCACAUAGGAAUGUUCAUAUGGCUUAAACCCAUCAAAAAUAUUCUCGCUUCUCUAAAAAUACCUGUUAAUGAUUAUGAAAAGGAAUUAAAUUACUUAACGUCAAAAUUCUCAAGCAUAAGUACCAGUCUCACCCAAACCUGUGUCACAAAUUCUAACCUAACUGAUCAAAUCAGCAUGAUUUCUUCAAAGAGUGAGGAACGAAGAAUGUGGAUCGAGCAAAAGGAAAAGGAGUUAAUUAGAUGUAAAGAUGAUUCUAUUUAUUUACAGAGAGAUAAUCUUAAACUUCUCAAAUAGAGAAAUGUUUUUUUGUUUAAUUGCUAAGAGACUCUAUUUGAACAUCACUCAGUUGUAUCUUGAUUGUGAAAUAGGGAGGAAAAUACAACGUAUGAUUUUACCUUUCCUUGAAUUAAAGGACGCUGAAAUCGAUGCCGAAGCAUACAACUGUGAAAGUGUCGUAUCUUCUGACGAAGUGUCUCCAGCAUAUAAAAUAGGUCUAGACAAAAUUGAAUCCUACAUAAAGUCCAAGGACCACAUGGACAUGCUUAAAAAUCUGUUAGAUGAAAAUGAUAGAUCGAAACUGAGAGCCGAAACUAUACAAAAAUUUGAUUCCUUGAAUGCCAAUUUAGGUUCAGAAAACAAAAUUAUUGCUGAAAAUACAUUUGAACUUAAUGAGGAUGAUGAUAUGAGUGAAAUUUUUGUAGAAGAUUUUGUAGACUAUUCUGAAUUAGCCAAAAACGAACCCAAGUCCCAUAAGAACCUAAUUUCUAAAAACUCUAUUGAGUUUGCUCGUUCCUCUACCGACAUGUCUAAAGUUCUCAAAGCUAAAGCUGUUGUGUACCAAAAGGUUCAAACUACCCCAAAUCAAGUCUACAUUGUGCCGGGAGUCACUCCACAACAAACUGCAGAGUUAACUGCUAUGGUAGAAGAAGACAAUGCUGGGGGAUGUGACGAAUUCUUCUGGUCGGCCCAAUAGACAAUGCAGAUGAGACGAAGGGUCUUUCUCAGAAAACCUCAUGGAGAGUGAAAGGUAGAUACAUACCUGAACCACUAAAUGAGCCUACAAGGUAUGUUGUGCCGAGCACAAGUGGAACCAAAGCUCCUUAAGGUGAACCAAUGCAAACCACAAGUGAAACUUCUUCAGCAAAAAGUGAAUGUUGUGCCCAUACUUCAAAACGAAAGGCCAACAUUCAUAGAAAUCCAAAAUAGGUGGGUGAUCGAAAGCAUCAAAGGAAUCUGAGAUAUAAAAAGAAUCUCUCAGAAAGAAAACGAUUUUGGAAUUCCCAAAAACCUGAUUUUGUAAGAAUAGAAAGGAAGAACAAAUCAAAAGAAAACUCAAGGAACCGAAAGAGCAGCUUCGGUCCUCACUGCAACACCAACUGAAAGAGUGGUUUCGGUCCUUCAAUCGAUAAGAUCCGAAAGGAUGGUUUUGGUUCUUCGACCAAUAGGAGCCGAAAGGGUAGUUUCGGUCCCUCGUCCUAUUACAACCGAAAGGAGAGUUUCGGUCCGUUACCCAUUAACAACCGAAAGAGUGGUUUCGGUCCGUCAUCCUACUACAACCGAAAGAUUGGUUUCAGUCCUCAUGCCUGCAAGUCUGAUCAACAAAACCGUGGAUCCAAUGUCUCUUCUAAAUCCAAAUCUCUAAAUUCCAGUCCUUCAGUCAAAAGCCCCAGUCCUCCUAAAUCAACAAAAAUUAAAGUGUUCACCAUUAAAAGAAAGGGAUGAAACAACUUUAAUUAAAUGCACAAAUAUGGUUGAUAUUUCUCUUACUAUUCCAUGUCCUGUAAAAGGCUCAUAAGGACCCAAGAAACUUUGGGUUCCUAAAUCUGCUUAAUAUUUUGCAGGUUAUACGUGACGAGCAGUUUGACGAAGAAUGGUACAUCGAUAGUGGUUGCUCACGUCACAUGACAGGAAGGAAGGAGGAACUAAGAGAGUUUCUUUCUCUCAAAGAUGGUGGUAUUGUAAAGUAUGGCAACAACUCUUUUGGAACUAUUAAAGGCUAUGGAAUGAUCACUAAUGGCGAGUUCUCUAUAAGGAAGGUAGCUUAUGUUGAAGGGCUCCAACACAACCUCAUCAGUGUAUCACAACUGGUGGUUGGUACCGGAUUAAAAGUGUCAUUCGACGAUGAAGGCUCGGAAAUUGUCGAAAAGAGCUCAAACAACAUUCUGUUGAAAUCAAAACGAAAAGGGGAAAUGUAUCCUUUGAAUCUCAAUCCUAUAAGAGGUAAACCAAUAAUAUGCUUACUCACAAAGGCUCACUCCGAUGAAAGUUGGUUAUGGCAUAGAAGACUCUCUCAUCUGAACUUCAAAGACAUCAACAAGUUGGUCUUGGGUGAUCACGUUCGAGGUCUACCAGUUCUAAAAUUCGACAAAGAACAUCUCUGUGCAACAUGUGAAAUGGGAAAGCAGAGUCGGCAGAGUCAUCCAUCUAUUAUCAAUACUAAGGUGAUAGAACCACUGGAAUUACUGCACAUUGAUCUAUGUGGUCCUUCGUCCAUCGAAAGAAUUGGGGGAAACAAAUACAUUCUGGUUAUUGUGGACGAAUUCUCGAGGUUUACAUGGAUUUUCUUUCUCAAGAAAAAGUCUGAAGCUACUCCAAAGCUCAAGCUCUUCAUUAAACAGAUCGAGACGCAACUAAGAAAGGUAGUUCGUAAUAUAAGGAGCGACAAUGGCCUGGAAUUCAAGAACAAAGACUUUGAAGAAUUUCUUGCUGAAAAAGGGACGACUCACAAUUUCUCAGCUCCCUAUACUCCACAGCAAAAUGGCAUUGUUGAAAGGAGAAAUCGGUCUUUAUGUGAAGCUGCUCGUACCAUGUUAUGCUUCGCGUCCCUGCCAUUUUAUUUCUGGGAUGAUGCAAUAGCGGCUGCAUGUUAUACUAAGAAUCGAUCAUAAUUGAAUAAACGGUUCUCAAUUACUCCUUACGAGAUCCUGAAAAAAACCAAACGUGAAAUUCUUUCAUGUGUUCGGUUCAAGAUGCUUCAUUUUCAACUCUAAAGAGAAGCGAAAUAAGUUUGAUGCUAAGGUGGAUGAAGGAAUUUUCUUAGGCUACUCCCUGAACUCCAAGGCGUAUAGAGUUCUCAAUAAACACUCAAAGAAAAUUGAAGAAACAUACUAUGUCACCUUUGACGAUAGUUAUGUUAAGAAGUUGAAACCAAUAGAAGAUGCAUCACAAGACAAAUUUCCUAAGAAUGGUCAGGUUACUAUCUUCAUCUCGAAUAUUUUAGACCAAUUCAUGUUCUUGUUUGAUGAGCCUCAAAAGGCGAUUGACUUUGAAUCAACUGCAAAAGACAACAAAGUUGAUGAUUUGAACUAAGUUAUAGAUGAUGUUGCUAGAAAGAUGGCUGAUGAUCAAUCCAAAGGAACCGAAAGUGCAGACGAAAGUGAGCCUUCUAGUGACCAUCCUACUGUCGAGGGGGAGGGUUCCUCUCCUCAUCAUGAUCAAGGAUCUUCAUUCCAGGGGGAGAACUCAUCGCCAAGUACAACAAGCUCUACUGAAAUUCCGACCAAUGAAGGGGAUACAAAUGCUGGUCCUGAACAGGAGUCAUUCUUCGAGGGCAGAACACAGUUAGUGAAGAUGACAUUUUGUCUGAACUCGAAGAAGAAAUCAAUGCUUAAUUGGAUCCUAUCUAUGAUCCAAAGUUUCCUCCCCUUGUUAAAUGGACAAAAGAUCACCCUCAAACUCAAAUUAUUGGGGAAUCCUCAGAAAAGGUGUUAACUCGCUCUCAAAUCACAGCGAAACAGGCUGCCCUAUUUUUGAAAGGCGAGUUUUGUAUGUUCAAUUCAUUCGUGUCCAAAAUUGAACCAAAGACUGUUAAUUCAACUCUUGAUCAUUUAGACUGGGUUCAAGCCAUGCAAGAUGAGUUAAAUGAGUUUGAACGAAACAAGGUAUGGCGUCUUAUUCCAACACCAAAGGAUGCUUCGGUUGUCAGUCUCAAAUGGGUAUUCAGAAACAAGAUGGACAAAGAAGGCAAUGUCAUUCGUAAUAAAGCAAGGCAGGUGGUCAAAUGAUAUUGUCAGGAAGAGGGAAUUGAUUAUGAAGAAACCUUCGCUCCUGUGGAAUCUGUUCGUAUCUUUCUUGCGUAUGCUGCUCACAAGAACUUUGAAGUCUAUCAAAUGGACGUCAAAUGUGCUUUCCUCAACGGUGAACUUGAAGAAACUGUAUAUGUUGAGCAACCGCCAGGAUUCGUGAACGAGAAGUAUCUUGAUCAUUGUUAUAUCCUUGACAAAGAUGUCUACGGCCUGAAACAAGCUCCUAGAGCAUGGUAUGAAACUCUCACUCGUUUCUUAAAAAUGUCUAAAUUCAAACAAGGUUCAGUUGACCCAACCUUCUUUCGUAAGCGAGAAGGUAACCACCUUAUGAUAGUCCAAAUUUAUGUUGAUGACAUCAUCUUUGGCUCCACGAAUCCUAGCUUAACAGCUGAAUUCCGAAAGUUGAUGGAAACUAAGUUUGAGAUGAGCUCAAUGGGUCCAAUUAAUUUCUUUCUUGGAUUGAACAUUAGACAGGGACCCGAAGGCAUUUUUAUUAAUCAGGAAGCAUAUACCAAGACUUUGCUCACCAAGUUUGGAAUGACGGGAGACUCCAAAGUAAAAGUGCCGAUGGCUUUUGGAACCAAACUCACACCAUCAUUGGAGAAACCAGUCGCUGAUACAACGCUUUAUCGACAGAUGAUCGGGUCUCUGAUGUAUCUUACCGCCAGUAGACCUGAUAUCAUGUUCUCUGUCUGUUACUGUGCUCGAUUCAAGCCAACCCACGAGAACCUCAUCUUCAAGCCAUGAAGAACAUCUUUCGCUAUCUGAAGCGAACCUCCUCUCUCGGUCUAUGGUAUCCAGCCAACUCCAGAUUCUUCGUUCAAGCAUUUUCAGAUGCUGAUCUGGGUGGAUGUGGAAUGGAUCGUAAAAGCACCACAGGAGGAUGUCAAUUUCUGGAUGGAAAAUUAGUCAGUUGGCAAUCAAAGAAACAAACCUGUGCUUCGUUAUCCACUGUAGAAGCCGGAUAUAUUGCUGCAGCAUCCUGUACAUCUCAAGUCGUAUGGAUACAAACUCAGCUCCGGGAUUAUGGAUUAAACAUGAAGAAAAUCCCGCUGUAUUGUGAUUCUGAAAGCACAAUCAGGAUUUGUCACAACCCAGUGCAACACCCGAAGACUAAGCAUAUCACACUGAGGUACCAUUUCAUCAAGGAUCACGUCGAAGAUGGUAACGUAGAAAUUCACUUCGUCAAAACUGUUGGAAUAGUGUCUAAGACUGAAACUAUAUUAGGAAAGUAUUUGACCCGAUUGAGCAUGGUCCUUUUGGGUUGCCUUCACCAUAGCAACUUGACAGGAUGAUUUAUAAUGAGAGAAGAAAUAUUGUUAAUAUAUUAUGAGAAUAAUAUAAGGAAUAAUAAUAUUAUUAUUUGAUUAAUAUAAGUCAUAAAUUAAUUAGGAAUUAAUUGUGUGACUUAAAGAGAUUAAUUGAAUAAAGGGGCAUAAACUGUCAAUUGUAUGAUGGUUGUACUUUGGGCUAUAAUCCCUUAUGGAUAAGGGGUGGACGAUUUCUAGGGCUUAGGAUAGACUUAGAAUUCACCCAAGAACUUAUCAAUUAGGGUAUUGGAUUGCUUAGAGCCUAAGUUAUCCAGUUAGGGUUUAAGGGUGAAACCCUAGGAGCCUCACUAGUAUAAAUAGACCCUAAGGGUCAAGGGAAUCGGCACCUAUGCUCUAAGAAGAAACCCUGGCCGAUUCUUGAUCCUCUCUCCUCUCUCUCAAAUCAUCCUCUUGCUAGUUGGUGUUUGUAAGCCAUUAGAGGAGUGACAAUUGUGACUCUAAAGCUCCAAGGACAAGAAGAUCAAGCAAGUGAUUCAAGGUAAUCUUCUAAUUCUGAUUUCUUAUUGUUAUUAUACUCUAUUAGCCAUUAGAAGUCUUGGAUUCAAUGUAUGUUCAAUUAGAGAAACCUAGAUCCAAGCAUUAGGGUUUGUAUGUGCACAUAGGAAUGUUCAUAUGGCUAAAACCCAUCANNNNNNNNNNNNNNNUGGUUUCUAUGAAUUGAUGCAUUGGUUGCUUGUUUGAUGCUUGCAGAAUUCGAAUUUUAUGUUUCUGUCUGAUGGAAUCGGCGAGUCCCAUAGUGGAAUGGGACACCGCAGUUGAAUGGUGUGGCAGAAAGGUGUAAUCGAACCAUGUUAGACAUGGUCCGUUCUAUGAUGAGUCGUGCUUCACUACCUAUCUCAUUCUGGGGGUAUGCCUUAGAGACUGCCGCCGACAUGCUUAACCGAGUCCCUACUAAGAAGGUUGCCAAAACACCUCACGAGAUGUGGACAGGGAAAGCUCCCUCGUUGGCACAUAUCAAGGUUUUGGGUUGCGAGGCUUUCGUAAGAAGAGAUACUCACGACAAGCUCGAACCUUGUAGUGAGCGAUGUAUUUUCAUCGGCUACCCGCAGAAAUCCUUUGGAUAUCUCUUCUAUAGACCGAAGGACAAUGUUGUCUUUGUUGCGAGGAGAGGAGUUUUCCGAGAGCGAGAAAUCAUAAGCCAAGGAGACAGUGGGAGGCAAAUCGAGCUUGAAGAGAUUCAAGAGUCGAUAGAUGAAGGAACCUCUACCGCUGGCACUCAACCCGAGGAGGAAACUCCGGU